AUCCCUGGGCCUGGGCCUACCUAGGUGAAGACAGGCAUUUUUGUUUUCCUGCCCGGAUGUUGCAUUUCCCAAGACCACCCUGGCCUGCCAUGCCCUCAUCCUGUGCCUUUAAAAACCCCCGAGACCCUGGCAGGCAGACGCACAAGCAGCUGGACAUUGAGAGGAGCAUAUAGGCAGAGAAUACAGGGGCUGCUGGAUGUCGAAAGGAACGCACCAGCAUAGGAGCACACCGGCAUGCUGGCAGGCCAUUGACCAGCGGAAGAAUGCAGAGUUUGUCGCGGGAGGUCAGAGAAGAGUCAGGCCGCCAUACCUGACUCCAGGAGAAAACCGUCUCCCUUCUGGUUCCCCCGUCUGCCGAGAGCUACUUCCACUCAAUAAAACUUUCCACUCAUUCUUCAAGCCCACGUGUGAUCCAAUUCUUCCCGUACACCAAGCCUUCCAUCUUGUUCUGAUUAAUGAACUAUGAGCAGAAAUGACAUCAAUUCCAGAAGAAGUAGAAGCCAGCAGGUGUGUCUCCACCAUCACUGUCUUCUCCUGUGACUUGGGAGGCCUAUGUUCCUGAUGGCAGAGUAGCAACAUGAAACAGGAUUUGUAUCAGAUUUCAGGUGGACCAGAAAUACAUCUAUGUUGUUUUAAGCCAUGGAAACUUUGAAGUCUGUCUCUUGCAGAAGCUAAAUUUAAUUAUCCUCAGGAGUAUAAGAUUCAAAUGGUGGUAUACAUGUUUUGUGGAAUCUUCACGUAUAUGUAUAUUUGUUUUAUAGAAUCUUCACAUAUAUGCAUAUUCAAUUUUAUAUACAUGUAUGUUUUAUAGAAUCUUCAAACAUUAAUUCAGAUAUUUGUAUUCUCUAGAACUCCAGAGUUCUGCAACCUCCCUAAGAAUCUCUUCAAAGUAAAUUAACGUCAUUCAUAUCUACAGCAAACAAAGGCACCUAUAUAAUGGUUUUCUCAGUUAUAGCAAAUGUUGGCUUUGACUGCAUUUUGACAUUAAACAUUGUUGAUGCCAUUUCUGAAUCUACUGCAUAGUUGUAAUCUUAGUUGGAAAUACUGUUGGUUACUGGUUGGUCAAGGAGAUUAACCCCGGAGUUUGAGACUUUAUUCAGAGUUCUUCUUUUGGACUUGAAAAAAAAUCUGCUAAGAGAACUUGUCCCAUUUUAGGUUAUGCUGAAGCAUGACAAGAUGUACAGAAAUAUUCUGAAUUCUAAAGGAAGCUCAAUAUUAUGUAAUCUCAAUUUGUAGUAUAAUGAAAAAAGUGUGAAUGAGAAAGUCAAGGAGUAAAGGUGAAUUUGAUAUUCCAUAACUUCAGUUUUACUUCUGCUAUAUAUUUCUUUAUUAAUAGUAAUAGAGCACAUCGCCAGUCAUUUGAUAAGGAGUGAUUAAAAAAAUCCGUUACCGAGAAAAGCUAUCCUUUUGAAGUUCUCUCAUUUUAAAAAACACAGUUUUAAGUAUCAGAUUUUUUCUUUCUAAGUUUUAAUGUUAACCAUGAGCUCAUGCUGUCAUAGUGGCUUAAUAAGAAUUACUACUACAUAUAAUGUGAACAAAAACCUUCAUGUUUAUUUUGAUAUUCAAAAUGCAAAGUUGGACCAAGAUAAAACAGUUAGUUAUCCAGCUAAUAAAGAUAUAGGUAUGAUAAGAGAUACUUAGACAAUGAAACCUCUCAUAUACUAUUGGUAAGAAUGUAUUCUUCCUGGAAAGCAGUUUGAAAAUGCAUACGAAAAUCUCUAAAAAUGUAUUCUUUCCCCCAUAAUCCUAGUUCUCAAAAUCUAUGCUAAAAGAUAAUCACAGAUAUUAUAAAUGUGUGUAUAUUAAUUUUUCAUAGUUCUUAAAAAACUAUAAAUCACUAAACGCCAAAACAAAGGUCACGAUUAAAUAUACUUUGGUACAUUUUGAUGAUGGCAUAUUUUGCAGUUGCUAAUAAACAAUUUUUAAAGAUAACUUAAAAUAUUUAAUGGUAUGUGAAAAUGUUUGCAAUAUUAAGUUGAAAACCGGGUAUCAAACUACAUAUUCGAUGACUCCAAUUUAAUAAAAUUUAUGUAGCUACUUUGAAAAAACAAUGAACAGAAAUACACAGAAAUAUUAACAUCAAUUGAUGUUGGUAGUGUUUUUUGCUUUAUAAAUUUAUACAUAUAGAAAUGAAGAAUAUAGACAGACUUAUAGAAACUACUAAAUUAUUAAGAUAAGCAUCUGUUGCCUUGAUUAAUGGAAAUCACCAAAUUCUGCGCCAGCUGUAUGGAGUGUGUUGUAGGCCUGUCAUCUUUCUGUUCAUGCGGUUGCUAUUACCUCAGAACAAAUGAACAACAACAACAAAACUUUUCAUCUUCUCAGACUACCUUACUUCAUCUUAGCCACCAAGGACAGUGGAGGUGCCAGCCUCUGUGACAAGCCCUCCCUGCCCCACUUCAGAUUGGGUUGUGUAUUCUUCCUCGUUACUCCCACUGUGUCCAGCAUAUUCCCUUACAACGGUAAUAAAAUGGGAUUGAUUGCUUGGCUGGGUUCGCCACUGGAUUGUAGCUCUGCAGAUCUUUGAGGUCUGGAAUAUCUUUUCCACGUUCUUAGCAUUAUAGCACAAUGACAGGCACACAAAUGGCAGUCAAUAAAUGUUUGUAGACUGAACCAUGUUUAAAUGACUUACGGCAGUGUGUAAUGCAGAGUGAAGUGCUGUCUUGAGGCAGGUUCCAUUAAACUCCUGAUUUGAUUUUGCUCUGGAAAUUUCCGGAAUCUAAGUAGUCUGAGAGUCCUAUAUAUAAAAAAAUAUACACAUCAACUUUUGCUAUUCAAAGAUGAUUUAGAUAAUUAUAAAAACAAUACAUUAAAGUAAUGUUGUUUUAUAUUUCAGGAAUAUUUUUCAUUGAUAUAUGAGAGUUUCUGAUUAAUCUGAAUAACUAAAUUUAAGCUUUCAAAGCCAGGAUGUUAAUGGUAGUCUUUAACAAAUUGUACCCCCUUUUUAGACUCUGUUAUAAAUUAUAAAGUGCACUGGUACUAAACUUCCCAACUCAAAUCACAGUGAUGUUUCAUAAAUUUAUUUGAUAAGGUUAUUCAUUAAUUUGUGUGAGAAAGACAGUUGUCAUGGUAAUAGCUUAAAAUGAACCGAAACACAAUCCUGGUCAUGUUUGCUAAAGCAGGUGAAUCUGCUCUAUUGUGUUGCAUUUUUCUAAUUUAAACAUAACUGAAGCAAAAUACAAAGGGAAUUUAAAAUGAACAUUUAGGGGUGUUUUUGCUAUAUAUAUAUAUAAAAUAAAGUUUCAAAAAUCCCCGAAUUUGGAGAGUCUGUUCUAUUGGCAUACUCGAUAUUCGCAUUCCUGAGUUUUCCAUAAAAUGCAGAUUUUAUUCAGAAUGAUUCAGAUCAAUGCAACUGGACUUUCGUCUGAUUUUCAGAGAAUGAGUUAAUAAAAUGGCUGAGAUGUGUCUGGAGAAGAAGGCAAACAGAUAAGAUUAUUUCUGUGUACAAACAUGUUAUCUUUGAUUCCCUACCCAAGCUAUUUGGUUUAUCAUAACUUGCCAUGAUGAUAAUUAGGUGACAGAAUAAAUGAAUGUGCUUUCAUGGAAGAAUGGCAGAUGCAAAAAAUAAUAAAAAAGGCAAUACCUGA
rnacentral:lncRNA from 1 species